UACGUAGGGGGCAAGCGUUGUCCGGAAUCAUUGGGCGUAAAGCGCGUGUAGGCGGCUCGAUAAGUCUGCUGUGAAAGUCCAGGGCUCAACCCUGGGAUGCCGGUGGAUACUGUCGAGCUCGAGUCCGGAAGAGGCGAGUGGAAUUCCUGGUGUAGCGGUGAAAUGCGCAGAUAUCGGGAGGAACACCAGUAGCGAAGGCGACACUCUGGGCCGGUACUGACGCUGAGGAGCGAAAGCGUGGGGAGCAAACAGG
rnacentral:rRNA from 1 species